rnacentral:rRNA from 1 species
AUACGGAGGAUGCAAGCGUUAUCCGGAUUUAUUGGGUUUAAAGGGUGCGUAGGCGGAUGAUUAAGCGUGAGGUGAAAUGCCACUGCUCAACAGUGGAACUGCCUCGCGAACUGGUUGUCUUGAAUGCUCCUGCCGUGGGAGGAAUGUGUGGUGUAGCGGUGAAAUGCAUAGAGAUCACACAGAACACCGAUUGCGAAGGCAUCUCACGAAGGGGUGAUUGACGCUGAGGCACGAAAGCGUGGGGAUCAAACAGGAUUAGAUACCCUGGUAGUCCACGCAGUAAACGAUGAUAACUAACCGCUGGGUCGUAGUGAUUCAGUGGCCAAGCGAAAGCGGUAAGUUAUCCACCUGGGGAGUACGACCGCAAGGUUGAAACUCAAAUGAAUUGACGGGG